AAAUUUCCUUCUCCCUGCAAAAUCGACCAUGAGCAGACUCCAUAACUCACUAUCUACUCACAUGAGAUCUCAAACUUCUUCCUUUCUCACUUCCAAUUUCGACCUCCUCCACCUCUUCACCAUGAUUCCGGUCUCCCUUCUCACGAAAUCGGCCAAGAACCACACGAACCUGGCCGUUUCUCCUCACAUGGAACACAAGUUCCUUCUAAUCUAGCCAUUUGAACCAGGACACGAUGCAAAAUGGAGGAUGAAGGCUAACGGAA
rnacentral:lncRNA from 1 species